rnacentral:rRNA from 1 species
CCCUUAGAUGUUCUGGGCCGCACGCGCGCUACACUGAUGCAUUCAACGAGUCUAAAACCUGCUCUGAUAGGGGUGGGUAAUCUUUUGAAUGUGCAUCGUGAUUGGGAUAGAUGAUUGCAAUUUUUCAUCUUCAACGAGGAAUGCCUAGUAAACGCAAGUCAUCAGCUUGCAUUGAUUACGUCCCUGCCCUUUGUACACACCGCCCGUCGCUCCUACCGAUUGAAUGAUCCGAUGAAUAUCAUGGAUUGAGGAUGCAAGUAGGUUGGCCUAUCUUCAUCUUCGAGAAGUGAAGUAAAUCUUAUCAUUUAGAGGAAGGAGAAGUCGUAACA